rnacentral:rRNA from 1 species
UAGGCGGACUCGUAAGUCAGUGGUGAAAUCUCAUAGCUCAACUAUGAAACUGCCAUUGAUACUGCGGGUCUUGAGUAAGGUAGAGGUAGCUGGAAUAAGUAGUGUAGCGGUGAAAUGCAUAGAUAUUACUUAGAACACCAAUUGCGAAGGCAGGUUACCAUGUCUUAACUGACGCUGAUGGACGAAAGCGUGGGGAGCGAACAGGAUUAGAUACCCUGGUAGUCCACGCCGUAAACGAUGCUAACUCGUUUUUGGGGCCUUGCGCUUCAGAGACUAAGCGAAAGUGAUAAGUUAGCCACCUGGGGAGUACGUUCGCAAGAAUGAAACUCAAAGGAAUUGACGGGGGCCCGCACAAGCGGUGGAUUAUGUGGUUUAAUUCGAUGAUACGCGAGGAACCUUACCAAGGCUUAAAUGGGAAUUGACAGGUUUAGAAAUAGACUUUUCUUCGGACAAUUUUCAAGGUGCUGCAUGGUUGUCGUCAGCUCGUGCCGUGAGGUGUUAGGUUAAGUCCUGCAACGAGCGCAACCCCUGUCACUAGUUGCCAUCAUUCAGUUGGGGACUCUAGUGAGACUGCCUACGCAAGUAGAGAGGAAGGUGGGGAUGACGUCAAAUCAUCACGGCCCUUACGCCUUGGGCCACACACGUAAUACAAUGGCCAGUACAGAGGGCAGCUACCAGGUGACUGGAUGCGAAUCUCGAAAGCUGGUCUCAGUUCGGAUUGGAGUCUGCAACUCGACUCUAUGAAGCUGGAAUCGCUAGUAAUCGCGCAUCAGCCAUGGCGCGGUGAAUACGUUCCCGGGCCUUGUACA